CCCGCGACAUCGCCAAGGCGAGCGAGGGAGCACACUGGGACGUGUUUCGAGUCAGCACGCCCGGUGGCGCCGCCGUGCUCAAGGUCCUGCACGUCGAGUACAUCGCCCGCUACGCGAAGGAGCUCUGCAACCACUUGCUGGUCGCCAGAGCCCUGGAACGUCUAAGCGACGGAAGAGGUUCGAACUUUACCACGGGAUUCGUCCUCGUCACGAGGGCUGUUUGCGUGUGGGACGGCUACCCGCAGGAAUUGAGCGACGCAUGCCGCCGGUUCGCCGCAGCACGCCGCGACACCGCAUCGAGAAAC
rnacentral:lncRNA from 1 species